UACGUAGGGUGCAAGCGUUAAUCGGAAUUACUGGGCGUAAAGCGUGCGCAGGCGGUUUUGUAAGUCUGACGUGAAAUCCCCGGGCUCAGCCUGGGAAUUACGUUGGAGACUGCAAGGCUGGAGUCUGGCAGAGGGGGGUAGAAUUCCACGUGUAGCAGUGAAAUGCGUAGAGAUGUGGAGGAACACCGAUGGCGAAGGCAGCCCCCUGGGUCAAGACUGACGCUUAUGCACGAAAGCGUGGGGAGCAAACAGG
rnacentral:rRNA from 1 species